CACGUGGGAAUCUACCUUGUAGUGGGGGAUAAGCCAGGGAAACUUGGACUAAUACCGCAUACGCCCUAAGGGGGAAAGGAGCAAUUCGCUAUAAGAUGAGCCCGCGUCUGAUUAGCUAGUUGGUGAGGUAAAGGCUCACCAAGGCGACGAUCAGUAGCUGGUCUGAGAGGAUGACCAGCCACAUUGGGACUGAGACACGGCCCAGACUCCUACGGGAGGCAGCAGUCGGGAAUAUUGGACAAUGGGGGCAACCCUGAUCCAGCAAUACCGCGUGUGUGAAGAAGGCCUGCGGGUUGUAAAGCACUUUUAGCAGGGAAGAUAAUGACGUUACCUACAGAAAAAGCACCGGCUAACUCCGUG
rnacentral:rRNA from 1 species